GAUGAACGCUGGCGGCGUGCCUAAUACAUGCAAGUCGAGCGAACAGACGAGGAGCUUGCUCCUCUGACGUUAGCGGCGGACGGGUGAGUAACACGUGGAUAACCUACCUAUAAUACUGGGAUAACUUCGGGAAACCGGAGCUAAUACCGGAUAAUAUAUUGAACCGCAUGGUUCAAUAGUGAAAGACGGUUUUGCUGUCACUUAUAGAUGGAUCCGCGCCGCAUUAGCUAGUUGGUAAGGUAACGGCUUACCAAGGCAACGAUGCGUAGCCGACCUGAGAGGGUGAUCGGCCACACUGGAACUGAGACACGGUCCAGACUCCUACGGGAGGCAGCAGUAGGGAAUCGUCCGCAAUGGGCGAAAGCCUGACGGAGCAACGCCGCGCGAGUGAUGAAGGUCUUCGGAUCGUAAAACUCUGUUAUGAGGGAAGAACAAAUGUGUAAGUAACUAUGCACGUCUUGACGGUACCUAAUCAGAAAGCCACGGCUAACUACGUG
rnacentral:rRNA from 1 species